GAAACGCCUUGCUCAGGCAGUGGUCCCGGCAGCCACGUGUGGCCCUGGGAGAGGUGGGAAGGCUGCUUUGCGUGAGCGCCAGCCCUCCUGGGGGCCCUGAGAGCCCCGCUGGCCUGCUGUCUCUGGACACCUCCCCACGGAAGACUGGGCUGGCGGGGUGAUCAGAAGGCAAGCCACAGGUGGCCGUCGUGCCCAAGGCCCACCCUCGCUCCGUGGUGCGGGAGGGUCGUCCCACCUCGACCACGCCCCCGCCCAGAUGCUCCGUCGGGUCAGUGGGGCGGCGCGCAGACGGCUCAGGGCUGUCAUCUGUGACCACGCUGGGGAGGUUUUACUGGGUCUGACCCAGGCGCAGUCGUGCCCUGACCCUCACCCUUUUCGGCUCCCCCCACUUGAAAGGAGCAAUACGGGGAAGGCGGAGACGCACUUCCCUCCCUGGGCUGAUUCCCCGGAGGUCAGGUGCCCCUGGGCGCCAGCCUCCCGCAGAGCACAGAGCGGUGCAGGCCGGGGACGAGGCUUCUGCCCCGGGAGUCAGAGAGGACGUGAUUCCUGCAGGGGCAGGAAAAAAAGCCAGUGGGCCCCUGGCUGGGGCGGGACAGGAGGGCCUCUCUGGGCUGGGGGUCACAGAUGUGGAUUGUGUUUGAAAAGAGAUUUUUUGCUGUGUUGUCCCGGCUGUGAAGGAAUAGGUGCUGCUUUUGGACGAGCCGGUGGAUUUGCACGCGUGGGAAACUGCCGCUUCUUGUGUUCCAGGGCCGGGCACUUACGGGGCUCUGCGUGCCCCAGCAGCAGCCUGCCGGGCCCGGGGCUUGGGCACACGGGCACGCGGAGUGGCUCCUGCCAGGCCUGCGCGGCGGCAGACAGGAGCUGUGGCGUCCUUGAGGUCAAGUGCGCUGGGCUCCAAGUCCUGUUCAGCACUUACAACGAGACAUGUGCGCUUUCCAGUGGAUUUUAUUUUUUACAGCAGUUUUGGGUUCCCAGCAAUGUUGAGAGGAAAGCGCCGGAAGUGCCCACGGACGCCCUGCCUUCCCGCACUCCACGCCCGCCAGACCCUGUGUUGUCAGUCACCACGAACCUGGAGGGCCACGUGGUCAUCGCCCAGGGUGCAGAGCGUGCACAAGGGCCGCUCCGGGCUGUCCAUCCGUGUUUGGACAGCUGAUGGUGGCACAGACCCGCCGUCUGGCCUCAGGCACGGUGUGCUCGCUGCCCUACGUGUCCGGAGAUGCACGCUCUCGUGACGCUGGUCAACCUGCUCCCCCAUAAUCCCCACCCCGGUCGACCUAUAGGCCGUUCCCCUCCCACCCGCAGCACCCCACGGUCCCUCGGACUCACGCGGCCCAG
rnacentral:lncRNA from 1 species